rnacentral:lncRNA from 1 species
CUUCCGGGAUGUCGCAAACGGGAACCACCGGGAAGUCCCGGCCUCGCUGGCCUCCUCUUCCUCCUCUUCCUCCUCUUCCUCCUCUUCCUCCUCUUCCUCCUCUUCCUCCUCUUCCUCCUCUUCUUCCUCCUCUCACCAAGUUGUCUGCUCACGUAGGGCGGGCAGGGAGAGGAGCAAAGGUCGUGGGUGGAGGUGGCAUUUGGCCACGGGGUCAAAACCCUCCUCCCAGAGCCCCCCUAACCCCCGCCUCCCCAACACCGAGCCUGGAGCCCCCCCAGUUCCCUUCCCUGACCGCGGAGGGUCCUGCACCCAGCAUCUCCCCAGCAUCUCCCCGGUGUCAGGGUCCCCCGGGGCCGUAUCCCAGGUUGGGGGGUUUGUAUCCCGGGUCUGGGGGGUGAUGGGGGGGCUGUAUCCUUGCUCGGGGGAUGAGGGGGCUGUGUGCCCCCCCCCCAACCCCCUCUCUCUGUCCCCACAGUCAUGCUGACGGGUGGGAUCGUGGCUGUGGCAGGGCAGUUCAAGGGCUGGUACUUCGCGGCGUACGCCAUUGUGGCAGGCGUCUUGGUCUGUCUGCUCGAGUACCCCAGGAGCAAGAGGCAAAAAGGUUCCACCAUGGAGAGGCGGUGAGUGACACGUGUGUGUGUGUGUGUGUGUCCCCUGUCACCCCCAGGGUUGGAGGUCCUGCUACCCAGCUCCCCCCACCCAGGCAGAGGGCCGGGGGUCAGAAGCAGUGGGGUAGCAGCAGGGCUGGAUCCUACAGGCGGGCUCCCUGGGGUCCCCCAUGCAGGGACAGCGUGGGUAUGGGGGUCCUUUGGGGCUGGGUGCCCCCCUUUUUUACCCCGGCCCCCCGCUGAUGCCCGCAAGAAACAGCCGGCGGAGGUCGGGGGGCAAGUGAACCCCAUCCCCGUCGAGGCUGAGUAACGAUGGGGGGGGAAGCCCUCCUGCCACUGCUGCACCGCUCGUGCUCCUGCUUCCCAGCUGCACCCCAGCUCCUCGGAGGGGAAACCGGGGUGCCUGGCUUCAGGGGAUCCCCAAAUCCCCAGGGAUGCUCAGCUCCUCAGGGGGGGGUCCCCAGAUCCUGGGGAAUCCCCAUAUCCCCAGGGAUGCUCAGCUCCUCAGGGAGGGUCCCCAGAUCCUGGGGGAUCCCCAAAUCCCCAGGGAUGCUCAGGUCCCUGAGGGGUUCCCUAGCUCCUGCUCCAUCUCCAAGGAAGCUCAGCUCUCUGGGGGUUUCCCAGCUCCUGGGGAUCCCCAAAUCCCUGAGGACGCUCAGCUCCCUGAGAGCUUCCCAACUCCCUGAGGGAUCCCCAGCUCCUGGGGGUCAGGGAGGGGGGUCCCCAGCUCUCCAAGCAGUUCCAAGCCGUCCCCAGUUCCCUGGGAGAUCUCCAAAUCCCUGGGGAACUCCAGCUCUCCAGGGAAUCCCCAGCUCCCUGAGGGGUCCCCAGGCCUCGCACUGCCACGAGGAGGGGGGUGACCAGCCAGUUGUGCUCCCUGCACCGGCUCUCGCUGUUUUUUUUGUCACUUCUGUGGUUUCUGUUGCAAUAAAAAGUGGGAAAGGAGCCGGCUCCCUUUGCCUCCUGCUGCUCCCCGGGGUGGGGGGUGGGGGGGGCUGGGGCAGGGUUUGGUGGGAUUUAAGGACAAACAGCCCAAUUAC